GCGUCCUCCAUAGGCUCAACACUGACUGUAGUACUCCCAACAUUAUUUCUGGUGUCGGUGGUAAAUCUACGAGAGGCACGAGCGCAGUUUGUCCCUAUAUGUGGUGUAGCAGGCUACAACUUAGGGAAUUUGACCGCAAGAAUAUGGGAGUUUCACGUAUUGAAUUCCCCGGGCACAUGUUUACAGCCUUCGGCCAACGUAACCGUGGACUCGUGUAGAUUUUUUAUGGCCUUCUGUCGCAAUCUCGACGAGGUGACGUUUAUUAAUUGUUCCGAUGCCAGCGUGUGCCAGGAAAGUUUGCCGGAUACGGCGUCUGUAUUCAAACUGGGUGGUUAUGAACAGAAUCCGUUUAAAGUUGACACCGAGUACAAUUCGCAAGGAUUCAUCGUAGACUUCCCUCAUGGCGGCACGUAUCAAAGAAUAAACGGUACCGCCUGCACGCUGUCAGUCCGCCUCGAUUUCAUAUGUAAAAGCGAUGCAUUCUGGGAAAUUCCACCGUUGGGGACUAUACCGGCUGAAGUGCCUGGCCCCACUCCUGCGUUCUUUAACGAGUCUUCC